UGCCGCCGGCGGGGGCGGAACAUGGCGCUGGGCGCGGGGGCACCGCAGCGGCCGCUCCUGCCGGCCGGGGGCUGCCUCCCCCUCCUCCUGUUGCUGCUGCUGCUGCUCUGCGGACAGCUCGGGGGAGGACAGAAAAAGAAGGAGAAUCUUUUGGCUGAGAAAGUGGAACAGCUGAUGGAGUGGAGCUCAAGGCGUUCAGUCAUCCGCAUGAAUGGAGACAAAUUCCGAAGGUUUGUGAAGGCUCCACCUCGUAACUACUCUGUGAUAGUGAUGUUCACUGCUCUUCAGCCACAGCGACAGUGCUCUGUUUGCAGGCAAGCUAAUGAAGAAUAUCAAGUACUGGCUAAUUCAUGGCGCUAUUCAUCUGCUUUUUCAAACAAACUGUUUUUCACUAUAGUGGAUUAUGAUGAAGGGGCAGAUGUUUUUCAACAGUUGAAUAUGAACUCUGCUCCGACUUUCAUGCAUUUUCCUCCAAAAGGUAAACCCAAGAGAGCUGACACAUUUGACCUGCAGAGAAUCGGAUUUGCAGCCGAGCAGCUAGCUAAAUGGAUAGCUGACAGAACAGAUGUUCAUAUUAGAGUAUUCAGGCCUCCUAACUAUUCUGGUACAAUUGCACUGGCUCUUCUGGUAUCUCUUGUUGGUGGCUUGUUGUAUCUACGAAGAAAUAAUUUGGAGUUCAUCUACAACAAAACUGGUUGGGCCAUGGCAGCUCUGUGUGUUGUAUUUGCUAUGACAUCUGGUCAGAUGUGGAAUCACAUCCGUGGACCACCAUAUGCGCAUAAAAAUCCUCAGAAUGGACAAGUGUGGUAUUUCUGUUCUACUCCAUCUCUCAUUUGCAGUUUAACCCAUAAAAGUCUUCAAAACCUUAUACAUCUCCCUGGAUUUACUCACUGUGAACUCCUUUGUGAGUUACAUACAUGGAAGCAGUCAGGCUCAGUUUGUUGCAGAAUCACAUAUUAUUCUUCUGCUGAAUGCUGCUAUCACUAUGGGAAUGGUACUCCUCAAUGAAGCUGCUACCUCCAAAGGGGAUGUUGGAAAAAGGAGAAUAAUAUGUCUGGUAGGCCUUGGUCUCGUGGUGUUUUUCUUCAGCUUCCUAUUGUCAAUAUUUCGCUCCAAAUACCAUGGCUACCCAUACAGCUUCUUAAUUAAAUGAAUUCAAGCGGGAUUCAUUUAGAGCUGCUUACCAUGAAGAUAAGCUAUAACUGCUAUUAUCAGCCCACGAUUGUUACAUGUAUUCAAGAAUCUUUUGUUGGUUCAUCUGUUUUUGUGAUAAUUUAUAUAGUAUGCUGAUAGAUAAAUGAAUGCAGUUUUAUGCAAUGAAUGCAUAAUUUAUAGAAAUAUAAACAUCUCACUGGAAAGUGCUAAAAUGUUAUGAAUAUGCUGUGCUCAAGAUUUUAAAUAAAUUUCAUUAUGAUGG